rnacentral:snoRNA from 11 species
UGCUGUGAUGAAGGUUAAAAGAUCUCGUUAAUCUGAAGAUUCAUUGAGGAUACUUUCUUAUCCAUUCAAUACAUUCUGAGC